GAUGAACGCUGGCGGCGUGCCUAAUACAUGCUUGUCGAGCGAACGGACGAGAAGCUUGCUUCUCUGAUGUUAGCGGCGGACGGGUGAGUAACACGUGGAUAACCUACCUAUAAGACUGGGAUAACUUCGGGAAACCGUAGCUAAUACCGGAUAAUAUUUUGAACCGCAUGGUUCAAAAGUGAAAGACGGUCUUGCUGUCACUUAUAGAUGGAUCCGCGCUGCAUUAGCUAGUUGGUAAGGUAACGGCUUACCAAGGCAACGAUGCAUAGCCGACCUGAGAGGGUGAUCGGCCACACUGGAACUGAGACACGGUCCAGACUCCUACGGGAGGCAGCAGUAGGGAAUCUUCCGCAAUGGGCGAAAGCCUGACGGAGCAACGCCGCGUGAGUGAUGAAGGUCUUCGGAUCGUAAAACUCUGUUAUUAGGGAAGAACAUAUGUGUAAGUAACUGUGCACAUCUUGACGGUACCUAAUCAGAAAGCCACGGCUAACUACGUGCCAGCAGCCGCGGUAAUACGUAGGUGGCAAGCGUUAUCCGGAAUUAUUGGGCGUAAAGCGCGCGUAGGCGGUUUUUUAAGUCUGAUGUGAAAGCCCACGGCUCAACCGUGGAGGGUCAUUGGAAACUGGAAAACUUGAGUGCAGAAGAGGAAAGUGGAAUUCCAUGUGUAGCGGUGAAAUGCGCAGAGAUAUGGAGGAACACCAGUGGCGAAGGCGACUUUCUGGUCUGUAACUGACGCUGAUGUGCGAAAGCGUGGGGAUCAAACAGGAUUAGAUACCCUGGUAGUCCACGCCGUAAACGAUGAGUGCUAAGUGUUAGGGGGUUUCCGCCCCUUAGUGCUGCAGCUAACGCAUUAAGCACUCCGCCUGGGGAGUACGACCGCAAGGUUGAAACUCAAAGGAAUUGACGGGGACCCGCACAAGCGGUGGAGCAUGUGGUUUAAUUCGAAGCAACGCGAAGAACCUUACCAAAUCUUGACAUCCUUUGACAACUCUAGAGAUAGAGCCUUCCCCUUCGGGGGACAAAGUGACAGGUGGUGCAUGGUUGUCGUCAGCUCGUGUCGUGAGAUGUUGGGUUAAGUCCCGCAACGAGCGCAACCCUUAAGCUUAGUUGCCAUCAUUAAGUUGGGCACUCUAAGUUGACUGCCGGUGACAAACCGGAGGAAGGUGGGGAUGACGUCAAAUCAUCAUGCCCCUUAUGAUUUGGGCUACACACGUGCUACAAUGGACAAUACAAAGGGCAGCGAAACCGCGAGGUCAAGCAAAUCCCAUAAAGUUGUUCUCAGUUCGGAUUGUAGUCUGCAACUCGACUACAUGAAGCUGGAAUCGCUAGUAAUCGUAGAUCAGCAUGCUACGGUGAAUACGUUCCCGGGUCU
rnacentral:rRNA from 1 species